rnacentral:rRNA from 1 species
CCUACAGGGGGCAGCAGUGGGGAAUAUUGGACAAUGGGGGGAACCCUGAUCCAGCCAUGCCGCGUGUGUGAAGAAGGCCCUCGGGUUGUAAAGCACUUUCAGUGAGGAAGAACGCCUGGUGGUUAAUACCCAUCAGGAAAGACAUCACUCACAGAAGAAGCACCGGCUAACUCCGUGCCAGCAGCCGCGGUAAUACGGAGGGUGCGAGCGUUAAUCGGAAUUACUGGGCGUAAAGCGCGCGUAGGUGGCUUGAUAAGCCGGUUGUGAAAGCCCCGGGCUCAACCUGGGAACGGCAUCCGGAACUGUCAAGCUAGAGUGCAGGAGAGGAAGGUAGAAUUCCCGGUGUAGCGGUGAAAUGCGUAGAGAUCGGGAGGAAUACCAGUGGCGAAGGCGGCCUUCUGGACUGACACUGACACUGAGGUGCGAAAGCGUGGGUAGCAAACAGGAUUAGAUACCCCUGUAGUC